GACGAACGCUGGCGGCGUGCUUAACACAUGCAAGUCGUACGGUAAGGCCCUUUCGGGGGUGCACGAGUGGCGAACGGGUGAGUAACACGUGAGUAACCUGCCCACAACUUUGGGAUAACGCUAGGAAACUGGUGCUAAUACUGGAUGUGUGCUCCUGCUGCAUGGUGGGGGUUGGAAAGCUGCGUCGGGUGGGGAUGGAGUCGCGGCCUAUCCGCUUGUUGGUGGGGUAGUGGGCUUACCAGGCGGAGACGGGUAGCCGGCCCGGGAGGGUGACCGGGCAAAGCUGGACUGGGAAACGGGCCAGACUCCUACGGGAGGGAGCAGGGGGGAAUAAUGGACAAUGGGGGGGAGGCGGAUGCAGGAGCGCCGCGGUCGGGAUGACGGGCUUCGGGUUGGAAACCGUGUUCAGCAGGGGCGAAGCUGUUUGUGACGGUACCUGCAGAAGAAGCACCGGCUAACUACGUG
rnacentral:rRNA from 1 species